GCAAUUAUACCGUGAAACUGCGAAUGGCUCAUUAAAUCAGUUAUCGUUUAUUUGAUAGUACCUUACCACUUGGAUAACCGUGGUAAUUCUAGAGCUAAUACAUGCUAAAAACCCCGACUUCGGAAGGGGUGUGUUUAUUAGAUAAAAAACCAAUGCCCUUCGGGGCUCUUUGGUGAUUCAUGAUAACCUAACGGAUCGCAUGGCCUUGCGCCGGCGACGGUUCAUUCAAAUUUCUGCCCUAUCAACUUUCGAUGGUAAGGUAUUGGCUUACCAUGGUUUCAACGGGUAACGGGGAAUUAGGGUUCGAUUCCGGAGAGGGAGCCUGAGAAACGGCUACCACAUCCAAGGAAGGCAGCAGGCGCGCAAAUUACCCAAUCCCGACACGGGGAGGUAGUGACAAUAAAUACUGAUAUAGGGCUCUUUUGGGUCUUGUAAUUGGAAUGAGUACAAUUUAAACCCCUUAACGAGGAACAAUUGGAGGGCAAGUCUGGUGCCAGCAGCCGCGGUAAUUCCAGCUCCAAUAGCGUAUAUUAAAGUUGUUGCAGUUAAAAAGCUCGUAGUUGAAACUUGGGUCUGGCUAGCGGGUCCGCCUCACCGCGUGCACUUGUCCGGCUGGACCUUUCCUUCUGGAGAACCUCAUGCCCUUCACUGGGUGUGUUGGGGAACCAGGACUUUUACUUUGAAAAAAUUAGAGUGUUCAAAGCAGGCCUUUGCUCGAAUACGUUAGCAUGGAAUAAUAGAAUAGGACGUGCGGUCCUAUUUUGUUGGUUUCUAGGAUCGCCGUAAUGAUUAAUAGGGAUAGUCGGGGGCAUCAGUAUUCAAUUGUCAGAGGUGAAAUUCUUGGAUUUAUUGAAGACUAACUACUGCGAAAGCAUUUGCCAAGGAUGUUUUCAUUAAUCAGUGAACGAAAGUUAGGGGAUCGAAGACGAUCAGAUACCGUCGUAGUCUUAACCGUAAACUAUGCCGACUAGGGAUCGGGCGAUGUUUCUAUCUUGACUCGCUCGGCACCUUACGAGAAAUCAAAGUUUUUGGGU
rnacentral:rRNA from 1 species